AUUGAACGCUGGCGGCAUGCCUUACACAUGCAAGUCGAACGGUAACGGGCCUUCGGGUGCCGACGAGUGGCGCACGGGUGAGUAAUACAUCGGAACGUGCCCGAUCGUGGGGGAUAACGAGGCGAAGGCUUUGCUAAUACCGCAUACGAUCUACGGAUGAAAGCAGGGGACCGCAAGGCCUUGCGCGGACGGAGCGGCCGAUGGCAGAUUAGGUAGUUGGUGGGAUAAAAGCUUACCAAGCCGACGAUCUGUAGCUGGUCUGAGAGGAUGAUCAGCCACACUGGGACUGAGACACGGCCCAGACUCCUACGGGAGGCAGCAGUGGGGAAUUUUGGACAAUGGGCGCAAGCCUGAUCCAGCCAUGCCGCGUGCAGGAUGAAGGCCUUCGGGUUGUAAUCUGCUUUUGUACGGAACGAAAAGCCUUCUUUUAAUACAGGAGGGUCAUGACGGUACCGUAAGAAUAAGCACCGGCUAACUACGUG
rnacentral:rRNA from 1 species